AAAUUGAAGAGUUUGAUCAUGGCUCAGAUUGAACGCUGGCGGCAGGCCUAACACAUGCAAGUCGAGCGGUAGCACAGAGAGCUUGCUCUCGGGUGACGAGCGGCGGACGGGUGAGUAAUGUCUGGGAA
rnacentral:rRNA from 2 species